UCACCGGGCAACAACUUCUGUC
rnacentral:miRNA from 1 species